AAGUCGCUGGCGGCUGUCAGGUCUGCGUAGGAAAUCUCCACGGCAGUGCUGAGAAUGUUUAUUGUAGGGAGAGAACUUUUGCCCUGUGAAGUCACCUCCUACUAGUCACCAGUAGGUUUCUGAUAUUCUAUCACAGGAAAUUCCUGGUGGACCACAAAAGCAAUCCCCUGAGUCCAGCUGCUGGUGGGGAGCAGUGGUGCACCACACCACCCGGCUGAGCCUCAGCCUCCAGUGUGGGGCAGAGCACCUGUGCCCUGCAAAAUGCAAACUCUGUGCUCCUCAAACAAUGUUAAAAUGAACUAUACAAAGGGGCAAAGGUCAAGUGAACCAUUAUUGUGCUGCAUUUUAUGCAAACAAAAAAAAAUGUAUUAGAGGAUGUGCUUUGUAUUGUAACAAGGGUUUCAAGCAUUCAGUUACAGUAGCAAGCAAGAUUGAUGAUGAUGAUGAUGAUGAACCUUUAUCUGUGCGAGAUAGUGCACAGCAGGGAAGCAGCCUUGGAAAAGAUGAACACCAUAAAGACAGUGUUGUGGAUGAAACAGCUGGAACCUUGCCUGACCUCCUCCUGCUUGCAAGCUCAUGAAAAAGUUAGUGACCAAGGAGCUCACAAAAUCUGCAAACCUACAAUCUACAAAAAAACCCUACAAUCUACCAAAAACCCCCAUGUAGUUUUGAGAUAUUUGCAGCAAGAAUGUCUUCUAUGUUUUUGAACAGGAAUAAAAGAAAAACACUAAAUUAAAAGUAAGAGGCAAGAUCUUACUCUUUCUUUAUCAAAUGUACUCUGUUUUAAUGUAAAGGUGUUUGUACUUAGAAAAAACGACAUGAUUUUUAGUCAAAAUAGUGUUAGCUAGGACUCAAAAUCAAAUGUGAACAUACAGAGGCAUAAAGGAUAAACUGCAAGAAAUUUAAGUGGUAUGUAACCAUGAAUCCCUUCUCCCUAUUGCACGUGGUCUCUAGAGGAACUUAAUAUACAUUACUUCUGUGUUUAAGAAAAAAUGGAGUUGGCACUUUUUUUAUAUUUGCAUGUUGAUGGGCAGUUGCUAUCAGUAUAAUGUAAUUUUAGUGGCCGCAUAGAAUUGUUUGCAACAGCUUAGCUGCCAAAUUCUGAAU